rnacentral:rRNA from 1 species
UACGUAGGGGGCGAGCGUUGUCCGGAUUUAUUGGGCGUAAAGAGCUCGUAGGCGGCUGUCAAAGUCGGGUGUGAAAUCCCAAGGCUCAACCUUGGGUCUGCAUUCGAUACUGGGUGGCUUGAGUCUGGUAGGGGGACCUGGAAUUCCUGGUGUAGCGGUGGAAUGCGCAGAUAUCAGGAGGAACACCGGUGGCGAAGGCGGGGUCCUGGGCCAGUACUGACGCUGAGGAGCGAAAGCGUGGGGAGCAAACAGG